rnacentral:misc_RNA from 1 species
GUGGACUUUGAUCCAGGGACGGUUGGACGCAUUUGUUUAAUUGCUUUGCUAGAAUGCUUUGGAACAGAAUAUGUGAAAAUGAGGAAAUUAACUAACAAACCUUUCAUUCAAUAAACCUAGUUUUUCUUUUAAUUAAGUUUUAAUAAUCUGAUUGAAAAUUUUGAUUCAUAGCUGAGAAAGAUACGGUGAGUUUAAUGUCAG